rnacentral:rRNA from 1 species
UACGUAGGUGGCAAGCGUUGUCCGGAAUUACUGGGUGUAAAGGGAGCGCAGGCGGGAAGCCAAGUCAGCUGUGAAUACUACGGGCUUAACUUGUAGACUGCAGUUGAAACUGGUUUUCUUGAGUGAAGUAGAGGUUGGCGGAAUUCCGAGUGUAGCGGUGGAAUGCGUAGAUAUUCGGAGGAACACCGGUGGCGAAGGCGGCCAACUGGGCUUUAACUGACGCUGAGGCUCGAAAGUGUGGGGAGCAAACAGG